CUUGACUCAGUUAAAACUUCAAAGUUGUUUCAGAUGACUUGAUGACCAGGAGUGCUAGCCUCCUUUUUAACAAACUAAAGAUUAAAGUUUGAAACGCUAAUGCUGAUUUAUAGUUUCAGAAUGCUGGAAUGAAAGGCACUUGAGAGUUCCCCAUCUGUGUUUACAGUCACAGAAUGGAAUGCCUGCCUCAGAGCUGAGGAGGGCGGAGCCGGGCUGGAAUGAUGCACGCCCGGUCCCCAAUCAGCCUGAUGGGGCGCACGAGGGAUAAAGGCGGCCGGGGACGACAGUUCAAGAGAGAGAGAGAAUUACAGGCAGCUGCCCUGCAUGUGUUUGUUUGUGUGUUUUUGUUUAAAUUUAUUAUUAAACUAUAAUAUUCUCAAGCCGGUUCUCGCCGCUUCUUUUCCCUAUAACCCCCCUACAGGUUAGAACGACAUGCAGCAACAACAAAGUAGCUGCAUUUAGAAAAAUUAAUAAAACCAUCAUUCACUACAGAAACCGUAUUCUGCACUGACAAGUUAGAAAUAUACUGUAUGUCUCCAUCCAACUCCGAUAUUAAAAUGAUCUCAGAGUUUUCCACUUCUAUUCAACUUGAGGGAAUGUUCAUGUGCAACUUCCAAGUAGGAAACUCGUAUUUACGAUUAUUCCAAUAGCACAUGAAGGAUUGUGGUUUUAGGAAUUGUAAUAGUGAUGCAGGCCUUAGCAAACACCAAUAAAAGAAUGUUUGAGGAAUAUUGUUGAUAUUGUUAUACAGUGCCACUGCCUUGCAAAUACUGCAGAGAUCAUAGUUUGAGUGAACAUGCAGAUCCAGUUGAUAACGUUACAGGAGUCUCUCCAGCAGGUGAGUCUGACGCCUCUUCUACAGUCUGAGAUGCCACCCUGAAUAAUUCAUGAUGCUACAGGGGUACAUUGCGAGGUGAACUGUCUAGUCUGGCUCUCUCUUUUUGUGUUGGCAUAAAUGUUUCCGAAUGACCAUUA